rnacentral:tRNA from 1 species
UAAGGCUUUAUCUUAAUUAAAGUGUCUGUUUCGCAUACAGGCGAUGUGGGUUAGUGUCCCGCAGGCCUUAC